ACUUUGUUGGUUGUAGCUAUUACUGCUGUGAUACUGCAAAGCAGCCAGGAUGGCAAGGGCACCUUAGUGGAGAUCAGAACAGUGGGCUGUGUCAUAUUUUUGGCUGGGGCCUGGGGAGGUGGCCCAACCCCGGUUUGGAGUCAGUGAUACUGCCAAACCAUCUCGGUGUUGGCACGAAUCUUCUUUCGUUCCUCUGGCUCAGAUGUACCGCCUGAGGACUGGGUGGUUUAGCAUUCAAGGCCUGUGCCACUUUGACCGAUCCUUGGAGGGAAUCGGCAUCUGAUUCACAGGCUCUACGCAGUGAAAUCAAAUGUAUUGAGUCCUUUGCAGAGAUGCCAGAGGGGCUGUGAAGGCAGGUAAGUCUCUGCUGCUUAUUCAUCUCAGGCAGCUUUGUUUCCCCAUAUUUUACAUUGGAGAAUGACCAGCAGACUUGUAUUAAACGUCUGCUGCGUACAGAGCCCGGACCUGGGGGCUCCAGAGACACAGGGUGGCUGCGUCCAAAGCUGUAUCCCGGAACUCCUUGGAGGGGGACCAUUGCCACACUGUGCAGUGCACAGUUGCAGACACAGGCCUUGGAAUGGGCCACGGGAACACAGGAGGACGGGGUGGACUUCAGGCAGUGACAGAGAUAAAGCCCGGCCACACAUCUAUCUCAGGACUGGACAGGUUUUGCUAAAGGUCAGGAGGGUGGAGAGAAAUCCAGCUCUGGUCACAGAGAGAUGAGUGACAUUUGGGACUCUGUAAAUGUAAGUAGUUAAUACGCUGGCCCGUAGCGAGGCCUGCCGUGGUUUUGUGUUUUGGCUCAGCUCUAGUUGUGUGAAUCCCACCUGCAGAGGUGGAAAAGGGAAGGGAGUCUUCCCACUUUAGGUAGUCCAGGCAGUGGGGCUGACUCCCUCCGUGGGCUCCCGUGUCCCUCCUCCCUCUAGGACUGCUUGCUCCGCGUGCUGGAUCAGGGUGGAGGUGGGGAGGGGACACACAAAACAGCCCCAGGGCAGUGUGCCACGGUAUGUUCAGAAAAUUGUGGGUCGUCCCGGUUCCUCACCACAUGGCUGCACCAGCCAGGGGUAGACCUGGGCAGGAGGUGCAGGGCCCGCAGUGCCGUGUGGCCCAGGGUUUGCCGCGGACCCCUCGGGGUUGUCCUCACCGUGACCGAACAGCUGCGUAGUCCUUAACUUGCUAUCCCUGAAGCCACUCACCCUAGCUCCCCAGGGAGACGGAAGGCGGCCCGGGGGUGGCCCCAUCUCUUCCUUCCAGCCCCUCUACAGGACCAUUUGUUUUCCUCCCCUCCUGCCUUCAUAAGGCCCCUCUUGCCCCUCACAUGGAGACCCUGGUUGUGGGGUGGAAAGAUGGCCAGGGAAGGAGAGGUGUCUUUACUCCCAGAGCCCUCGGGCAGGGCCAGCCAUCCAUGCGACAGCCAGGCUGCGAGAUCUGGGACGGGCUCGGGAUCCAUCUCUCCCUGCUGGCCCCCGUGGGCCUGUCACCCGCCGAGCCUUGGGCUAAUUCUGGUCUAAAUCCAUCGGUGGCUGGAAGAGUCACUGGAUCGGAAAUAGAACUUCUAAGCCCUUUUGUAAAAUUGGAAUAGACACAAAGCAGGUCUCGGGGAUCAGAAUAGCAGGUCAUCCCCAGACCCUCCCAGAAUCAGGCCAGUCUACUCUCCCGUUAUGUAAGGCCCUCCCAGAGCAGCGGCCUACUGGGCUGAGAUGCAGAGCGAUGGUGAGUUCUUUUGUUGUUUUGUUUUCAAAGGUGAUUUUAUAAAGUCAACUGAGCUAUUUUUGAGAAUAGUCAGAAAAAUAUCUAUUCUUUAGUGUCUUAAAAUAUGUUUCUCCUUAGCUCUCAUAAAAGGUACUUGUUGGCAGGAAUGGGAGUUUGGGCUUAUUUGAAAACUUUCAGAAAUGUAAAAGGUUCCAGUUGUACAAAGUGAGACCCCAAAGUAGAUUAAGAUACAUCCUAACCUUUGCCCAGUGCCGUAGGGAUUACCAGGGCUCUUAGGGAUGUCUCCCUUUCCCCUCCUCGCUGCUGUCAGGGGUGGGGGCAGGUGCUGUAGUGGUGUCGCCCCUUUAUAAUUGAGGGCCCUGAGCCAUGGGUUCAGGGACCUGCUUGAGACCGCAAGGAACCAGCGCCUUCCUGUGCAUCACACUCCGUCCCUGCGUUCUCCGCAGCAUCCUGGGGUCUCGGCACAUUGGGUUCGUAAUUCUCCACACAUACCUCACGUGUCACUUUUCUUGGCCAAGUUCUCGCAAUGAGUUGCUAACUUUUCCAGGAUUUCACCAAGCACUAGGUUUUGAUCUGACUGUAUCUGGGGAGAAACCCAGAAGAAGAAAGAGACUUAAAAUGACAUUUAAUGAUCCUCAUUAAUAAUUUCUCAGUUUUGAAAUCUUUAAAGGUAAAUCCUGUAAAUAUUGGAGCAUAGCAGCCAGUGUAAUUGACUGACUGAAUCCAAGAUGCAGAACAAAGCAACAACAAUGGUAACCUUACCAGUUAACACUGACAUAGACCUUAACACGUGCCAGGCACCUUCUAAGCUCUUAAUAUGUAACUCAUUGAAUCAUCACAGCAAUCCUGUGAGGUAGGCACUGUUACUCUCAUUUUCAGGUGAGGAAACUGAGGCUUGGAGGAGUUAUGUAGGUUGUCUAUGGCCACACAGUUUGUAAUUGUGGGAGCCAGGAUCUGAGCCCAGGCUGGUUCCAGAAUGAUCUUAACCGUUUCACCAUGGUGCCCCUGAACAGAUGUGUUCAUGUUCAUGUCACUGCUUUAAGAACGCAUGAGUGGACUUGUAAGCAAUUUUUGAGCGCUUACCAUGAACCAGGCUGGGUGCUAGAUAUUUUUGUACACUUUAUUCUAUCUCAUUUAAAUCAUAGCUUCAGGGCUGGAAAGGAGUGUGUGAAGAGGAUUUUCAGAGAUGGCUGGCUCCCACUCUACGGUCGUUCCUUAGCUCCAUUGGCUCUUUUAUUCAGUCGCUCAGCAAACAAAGCCUCUGCCUUAUAACCACAGUAGUAAGUAGGUUUGAGCCUUUGUCUGGUCAAACUUUUUUUUUCUUAAUUUAUUUUUGGCUGCGUUGGGUCUUCAUUGCUGCACGCAGGCUUUCUCUAGUUGCGGCGAGUGGGGGCUAGUCUUUGUUGCGGUGCAGGGGCUUCCUGUUGCGGUGGCUUCUCUUGUGGAGCACGGACUCUAGGCACACAGGCUUCAGUAGUUGUGGCGCGCGGGCUUAGUAGUUGUGGCUCGCGGGCUCUAGAGCGCAGGCUCAGUAGUUGUGGCACAUGGGCUGAGUUGCUCUGUGGCAUGUGGGAUCUUCCCAUACCAGGGCUUGAACCCGUGUCCCCUGCAUUGGCAGGCGGAUUCUUAACCACUGUGCCACCAGGGAAGUCCCCUGGUAAAACAUUUUUAACUUUCUGUUUGUCACAUGUCCUGAAGAAUAGUCGUCCCCAACCUUUUUGGCACUGGGGACCGGUUUCAUGGAGGACAAUUUUUCCACGGAUGUGAGCAGUGGGGGGGGGGGGGGGGUCAGGAGGUAAUGCGAACAAUGGGGAGCGAUGGGGAGCGGCAGAUGAAGCUUUGCUCGUUCGUCCGCUGCUCACCUCCUGCUGUGUGGCCCAGUUCCUAACAGGCCAAGGACCGCUACUGGUCCGUGGUCUGGGGGUUGGGGGCCCCUGCCAAAGAAGACCUCUUUUAACUAUGGCUGUUAAAACCACCCCAAAACUUAGUAGUUAGGGCAACAUUAUUAUCAUUUCUCAUAGUUCUGUGGGCUGGGCUCAGCUGGGAGGUUCUUUGGCUGGUCUGGCCAGUGGUCCCUGUGCAGUCAUGUGGUGAAUCCACUGGGAUUUCGCUGCUUUCUUGUCCAAGGUAUUCUGUGGUUCUCUCCUUCCCCAGAGGGCCUUCCCUCUGGGGGAGUAGUGUCUUCAUUAGUGUAGCUAGACAACUUCUCAGGACUCCUAAGAACACACAAGCAGAGCUCUCUAAGCUCUCUUUGAAGGCUUAGGCCUGCAACUCGCCCAGUACUGCUUGCACUGCAUCCUCUUCUUAGAGCAAGUCAGAGCCCCAGCCCAGAUUUAAGGGGCAAAGACUGCACCGUGGGGGGGGAUAUUGGAAGCAUUGGUUCAUUGGGGUUCACUGUGUGGCAGGCUCCCACAACAACCUCAGGCCCUCAUUCUCAGAGCCUGCAUAUUCUUAUAGUUCUAAAAAAUUUAAUUAUUGACUUUGAGAUCUCCAAGAGUCCAGAAGUAACAUAUUUCAAGUCAGGGAAAGAGCUGCUAUGAGGAGGUACAUGAACAUCAAUGAAGGGUGAUAGCUGGUAGUCAUCAGCAAGGACACAAACCACAAAAGCAGAUUUAACUCUCGUCUCAGUCCUCUGGGAAACUUGUCUAUUCACAGUGACCCAUCCUGUAAGAUAUUCAUAUUGCCGAAGCUCCACUGUACCUAAUUCAGCCAGCAGGUUUUUUAACUCAAUGCUUCAUUCAUUGAGACUAAAAGUAUCUUACAAAUUGGCAUUGACUGUGGACCAUUUAAUCAAAGUUCUGAUUACUGAUCACAGAACCACCCAUACUUUAGAAGAAAUGAUUCUUGGAUUGCUUUUCAAACAGUGGAAAUUUAUGAUCAUGUAUGAUUGUAGCAUUGUGUUGAAAAGGAACUAAUACAGACUGAAUGUGUUCCUUGAAAAAUUCAUAGCUAGAAAUGAGGAAACAAGGAACAUGUUAUUGGAUGAUGGAGAAAAGGUGACCUUUGUAAUAAAAUGGCAAAGAACUUGGUGGGAUUAUGUUUUGCAGGAAGGACAUGAAUUUGGGGGGAACCAGAGGUGGAAUGUUACCCCAAAUUCAUUGGUUGAAGCUCUAAACCCCAGUGUGGCGAUGUUUGGAUAUAGGACCUCUAAAGAAGUAAUUAAGGUUAAGGGAGUUCAUAGAUCUUCUAAAAUUAGUGGCCUUGGAAGGAGAGACACCAGAGAGCUUGCCUGCACGCUCUCUCCCCUGGUGCACACACACUGGGGAAAUACCAUGUGAGGGCACAGCGAGAAGGCAGCCGUCUGCAAGCCAGGGAGAGAGUCCUCAGCAGAAACUGAGUUGGCCAGACCUUGAGCUUGGACUUCUAGGCUCCAGAACUGUAGGAAAAGUCGCUUCUGUUGUUAAAACCACUCAGUCUCUGGUAUUUUGUUAUGGCAGCCCGAGCUAAGACAGGAACGUUAGGCACCCUGGUGACCUUUGACCCUGAAGCCCCAGGAAACCACGGAUCAAUGAACGGAGCUUAACCCCAUGAAACAGAGCUCCUAUUGUCCUGUCUCCAGCUCUGGCUUGCACCUUCCCAGCUUGAGUGGGGGCCUUGUUUCUCUCAAUGGCACUUUGGUUUCCUAGUUAGAAGUGAGAAAAGGAGAGUCUCCUGGGGAGGUUAAGGUUACUCCAGUAA